rnacentral:sRNA from 14 species
CUCUCAUGUUGCCGAAUGGCUUUCGCUCCCAAAAACAGAAUAAUUUCAUAGAAUUGUAUCUCAAAGGUUGGAUUGCGCGCGCUCUCAACUCGCUCUUUGCACUGCGACAGAUAUUAUUUUGUGUUGGAUUGGAUUUUUGAAGGAAAAUCAGUCAUUGAGUACACAGCGAUGAAUAUGCAUCGUUAAGGACGGUUACGUUACGCGUUUUGUCGUUUUUGCCUCCAAAUAAAUACAACUGAAAAAUAACAACAACAAAAAAGAGCAGAAGUAAAAAAGAAACACAAAUACAACAAAGAAAGAAAAAAAAUCAAAAAGAAAUGGAAAGAAUUAAGGCAACAACAAUAAACGGUGUAUAGUUGUUGUAGUACGAUAGCCAUCAUUGUACAUACAUACAAAUACAGCAGCAACAAUAACAACAAUAGGAGCAGCAGAAACAGCAGCACCUCCGCCAUCACCAUCAACAUAACCACCAACAACAAUAGCAGCAGCAAAGUGAAAAAAACAACAACAAAAGAAAUAAAAUAAAACAAAAUAAAAAAUGUAUAAUUAAAACAAUUUCUCGAAUGCACAGAGCAACAUAGUAAAAAAGCAAAAAAAAAAAUAAGAAAAACAAAAUUUAUCAUCACACACGACGACACACCAUUAAAUAAAAAAAAAAUAUUUGAAAAUAUUCAAAAUAGAGAGAAAUAUAAACAAGUUACCUAUAGUGAAAAAUUAAGAAAAAAGAGAAAAAUAAAAAUUUUUAAAAAAUUUUGAAUUUAUGGCAAAACAAAAUUUUUGAAAAUUAAUUCACACAGAGAGGAAGAGAGCAUUAGAAAAAAUAUAUGUGUAUAUAUAUCGAAAAGAGUGUGUGUUGGAAAAUAUUUGCAAAAAUUGAUGUUUGAGAAAUUUAAAGGAAAUUUUCAACAAAAAAAAGUGCAUCCGAAAAUAGUUGUUAAAAAAGUGCAAAGAUCUCUAAGGAAAAUCUCACAAAUGUAAAAAGAAAAAAUUGAAGAAAUUAUUCGGAAAGUGUGUAUUUGGAAAAUUAAAGAAGAAAAGAAAAUAAUAUUAAUAAUAAUAAUAUAUUCCUAAAAGUCCCAUUGUAAUUGUUUUAGAAUCGUUGCUGUUCUUCAUCAAUUUCUUCAGAAGCUCGUCAUUUUGGCAAACAGGAUUAAGGUGACCACUUCCUAAACCCUUUUUACAGAACGCGGUCGCGAAGCGUAAACGUAACGUGGUAUCGUAGAACGUUAUACAGAUACGGUCGAUAUUGGAAAGAGUCGAAAAACGAUCUCUCGGUCGGUCUGCCUAUUCGUUGCUGUCGGUUAAGCUUCUAUUGAGGCGACACAACACCGCGUCACAACAAAGUCAAAUAUUUUAAAGCGUAUGCGAAUUUGGCGCGUUUAAUUGUCGUUGUGAAAUGUUAGCAAAAGUAAUAUAAUAGAAAUAAAAAUGUGUUUUCUUGCAAAUAAUUCAAAAGGUGUAGCAAAACACAAAGCAAAGUGAAUAAAGUAAGUAUCAUCGAACUACAACUACCCAUAUGUUGUUGUUUUUUUUUUGUAUUAUUUUUGUGAUUUUUCUUAAGCACAUCCCAAUACAAAUGCCCCGAUUUUGAACACUUGAGGCAUUAAUAGCUAGGCAAGGAGGUAGGGUAGGUUAGGCGUUGGAUGGGUGGAUAGGUAGAUAGGUAAUUUGCUUUAUUCGAUUGCGAAACAAAAACCAAGAAAAAAAUCAAUAAAAUAAAUACUAAAUGCAAUGUUUAGUUUAAUGAGACAAACACAAUGACUGACUGAGUGAGUGAAUGCAUAGAAAAAACGAAUUAUAGUGGAAAAAUACUGCAGAGUGCGGCCCAGAAAAAUCGCCUAACGUAUGAACGUAUCUUCUAGUCAAACACCAGCAGAGGCCUGAGUACAAUGAAAAAACAACAACUAAAGCACCAUACAUAUUUAGAAAUUACACGGAGAAAAAGAACAAAGAGACUUCAAGAAACCCUUUAAUAACAGCAGCUAUGACUCGUUCAAUGGAUGGGCUUUCCUUUGAAGAGUUUGAGUAUAAGUGCGCGCGGUCUACACGAUAAGGAAUGAAAUGAAACUUUUUGUUUUUACACAGGGCCAGAGAUGUUUUGUGAUGGUUAUCUAGGCAAUCGAGCCAACAAGCGAACAGAGGAGCCAACCGUCAGUUAAUGUUGAACAAUCAACAACGAAUAAGAUACCAAAAAAAAAGAAGCAACCAAGCAAUCGCAACAACAACAAUAUGGGGAAAAUGGCACAACUAAAGAAACAACAGCAGCAGCGCCAACAGUUUCAAGUGAAAUAAUAACACAUAAACCCCCCACCAAAACAAAUACUCUCAUACACACACACACGUAUACAGGCGAGCGCGCUAAAGCAAGUCCACAUAUCACAGCAAAACUAUCUUUGUCGCAUGGAUGUUUGUACGUUCGUUCGUUACUCUGCAGAUACCCAAAGCUGGAAUCAUUCAUUUUGCCUGUGUGUGUGUUUGGUAAUGGUGAGUUUAUACUGAAGCAUGGUGAUUUUGUUGGGUUUUUGAGGUGUUGGUGCUGGUCUGUUGUUGUGUGGGGAAAGUAAAUAAUGCAAAAAUAAAGUUAAAAAAAAAACAAUAACAACAACAAUGACUUGAAAUAUACACAGAAAAAGUAGUCAGCCAGCAGUUAAAGAAGAAGCACCACCAGCAGCAGCAAGCAGUAAAAGCCAAACAACAACAACAAUAAUAAUCAACACUGAAGUGACUGACUUACUAUGAAUAACGAAGAGAAGAAGCAGAAAGAAGUAGGCAAAAAAAAAAAAACAACCAAGACAGAAAUACUUAAAACAAUUGUAUAUUUAAUCUCUGACAAUAUAAAAUUUAUAAACUUUAA